rnacentral:rRNA from 1 species
AGCUUAUGUAACAAAACUACCUGCCAGAGAACUACUAGCAACAGCUUAAAACUCAAAGGACUUGGCGGUGCUUUACAUCCCUCUAGAGGAGCCUGUUCUAUAAUCGAUAAACCCCGAUAUACCUCACCACUUCUAGCUAAAUCAGUCUAUAUACCGCCAUCUUCAGCAAACCCUCAAAAAAGGAAGAAAAGUAAGCAUAAUAAUGAUACAUAAAAAAGUUAGGUCAAGGUGUAGCCCAUGAAGUGGGAAGAAAUGGGCCACAUUUUCUAAUUAAGAACAUACUCACGAAGGUUUUUAUGAAAACUAAGAACUAAAGGUGGAUUUAGUAGUAAAUUAAGAAUAGAGAGCUUAAUUGAAUAGGGCCAUGAAGCACGCACACACCGCCCGUCACCCUCCUCAAGCAGUACACUCAGACACUACAUAAUCCGUCAACCAGACCACGGCAAGAGGAGAUAAGUCGUCAACAAGGUAAGCGUACUGGAAAGUGUGCUUGGCAAU